rnacentral:rRNA from 1 species
CCCUUAGAUGUUCUGGGCCGCACGCGCGCUACACUGAUGCAUUCAACGAGUCUAAAACCUGCUCUGAUAGGGGUGGGUAAUCUUUUGAAUGUGCAUCGUGAUUGGGAUAGAUGAUUGCAAUUUUUCAUCUUCAACGAGGAAUGCCUAGUAAACGCAAGUCAUCAGCUUGCAUUGAUCACGUCCCUGCCCUUUGUACACACCGCCCGUCGCUCCUACCGAUUGAAUGAUCCGAUGAAUAUCAUGGAUUGAGGAUGCAAGUAGGUUCGCCUAUCUUCAUCUUCGAGAAGUGAAGUAAAUCUUAUCAUUUAGAGGAAGGAGAAGUCGUAACA